rnacentral:misc_RNA from 1 species
UACGGAGGUGGCAAGCGUUGUCCGAUGUUAUUGGGCGUAAAGAGUUCUGUAGGCUGAGUUAUAAGUUAUAUGUUAAAUCUUCCGACUCAAUCGGAAUCCUGCAUGUAAUACUGUAAUUCUAGAGAAAGGUAGGGGCUAGUGGAACGUACGGUGUAGUAGUGAAAUGCGUUGAUAUCGUACGGAACACCAAAGGCGUAGGCAGCUAGCUGGACCUUUUCUGACGCUGAGAGACGAAAGCGUGGGUAGCGAAAGGG